GCGGGUGUGGCGGAACGGUAGACGCGCCAGGUUUAGGUCCUGGUGGGCAAUGCCCGUGGGGGUUCGAGUCCCUCCACCCGCA
rnacentral:tRNA from 2 species